rnacentral:snRNA from 1 species
GGACAUGAGAGUGAUCCACUGAUCACCAGGGUGGAUUCUACUGAUCUAUCUGGCUAGGCGGUUGUUCUGUUUCUCUCUCUUCACUCCAUGUGCUUCCCUCCCGAGGCUGUGCACUCAGUGGAAGGGGACUUCCUUCCCUGAUAGGAUAGGACAGUUCUUUGGUCAAGGGUAUAUGAGUAGCUGUGCUCUCCUGCUAGAAUCUCCAAACAGCUCUCAAGGUCCAUUUGUAGGAGAA